ensembl:ncRNA C48D1.12 ncRNA
UUUAAAUUCCCUCUAAACUGAAAACUGCGACCAAUCAGCAAUUCACUCCGCCCACUUUCAAACCAAUCCGAUGAAGUGGGCGGAGAUCGACGAUGCUGAUUGGUUUGUCAUUUUAUCACAAAUUUCGUAAUUAUAUCGCAAUUUUUUCGU